rnacentral:rRNA from 1 species
AGAGUUUGAUCAUGGCUCAGAACGAACGCUGGCGGCAGGCCUAACACAUGCAAGUCGAACGCUCCAGCAAUGGAGAGUGGCAGACGGGUGAGUAACGCGUGGGAACCUUCCCAGUGGUACGGAAUAGCCCAGGGAAACUUGGGGUAAUACCGUAUAAGCCCCAUGGGGGAAAGAUUUAUCGCCAUUGGAUGGGCCCGCGUCGGAUUAGCUAGUUGGUGAGGUAAUGGCCUACCAAGGCGACGAUCCGUAGCUGGUCUGAGAGGAUGACCAGCCACACUGGGACUGAGACACGGCCCAGACUCCUACGGGAGGCAGCAGUGGGGAAUAUUGGACAAUGGGCGCAAGCCUGAUCCAGCCAUGCCGCGUGGGUGAAGAAGGCCUUAGGGUUGUAAACCCCUUUCAGCGGGGAAGAUAAUGACGGUACCCGCAGAAGAAGCCCCGGCUAACUCCGUGCCAGCAGCCGCGGUAAUACGGAGGGGGCUAGCGUUGUUCGGAAUUACUGGGCGUAAAGCGCGCGUAGGCGGACCUGCAAGUCAGGGGUGAAAUCCCGAGGCUCAACCUCGGAACUGCCUUUGAUACUGCGGGUCUCGAGUCCGGGAGAGGUGAGUGGAAUUCCUAGUGUAGAGGUGAAAUUCGUAGAUAUUAGGAAGAACACCAGUGGCGAAGGCGGCUCACUGGCCCGGUACUGACGCUGAGGCGCGAAAGCGUGGGGAGCAAACAGGAUUAGAUACCCUAGUAGUCC